UUUUAUUAUGUUAUAAAUAUUAAUUAUUUUUUUUAUUAAGUAUAAAACAAAAAUUUAUAUUGCAUAUUUUCUGUAAGAGAUAUUUUUACAAAUUUAUAAUAAUUUAUUAGUACCUUUUGUAUCAGGGUGAUUUUAUUUAUUUCAAAUUAUUUUAUUUUCCCGAAAUUAAGAGUUCAAAGCUAAUAUUUAAUUUUUAUUGUUUAAUAAAUUUAUUUAAAAUUAGUUUAGUAGUUAUACUCUAUUCGUUCUUAAAAAUAUCUGGUUUUCAAAGAAUAAAUAAAAUUUUUAAGUUUUUAUUUUUACUUAUAUUUAAUAAGGGAUCAUCUUUAUUUUAUUUUAUAAUUUAAUUUUAUUAAAUUUUUAUUAAUUUUUAAAUUUUUUAUUAAGUUAUUAAUAUAAUCUAAUUUAUUUAUAAAAAUUUUUUUAAAUUUAAGUUUUUAUUUGGAUUCUUUACUAAAUUUUUUUGUAAAUUUAAUACUGAUUUUAUUAGUAAUCUUUAUAUAUAUAAUUAUAUGAAUUCGACAAAUCUAAUUUUCAAUUGUUUAUCAAAAACAUUUUUUUUAGUUAUUAUUAAAGAUAAAUUCUGCCCAAUGAUUAUUUAAAUGGCUGCAGUAUAUUGACUGUACAAAGGUAGCAUAGUAAUUAGUCUUUUAAUUGAGGACUAGAAUGAAUGAUUAAAUGAAAAAUUUAUUUUAUUAUUUAUAAUUUAUGAAUUUUAUUUUUUGGUAAAAAAGCUUAAUUAUUUUUUUGGGACGAAAAGACCCUAUAGAACUUUAUUAAUUUUAAAUUUGAAUUUAGUAUUAUUAUUUUAAUUAUUUUUAAUUUUAAUUUAGUUGGGGAGACUAAUAAAUAAAUCUUUAUUUAAUUAACUCAUAAAUUUAUGUGGUAUUUGGAAUUUUAAUUAAUUUAAAAGAAUAAGUUACCUUAGGGAUAACAGCGUAAUUUUAAUGGAGAGUUCAUAUCUAUAUUAGAGUUUGCGACCUCGAUGUUGAAUUAAAAAUAAUAAUAGGGGUAGAAUUUUUUUUAUUGGGUCUGUUCGACCUUUAAAUUUUUACAUGAUUUGAGUUCAAACCGGUGUAAGCCAGGUUGGUUUCUAUCUUAAAAUUUCUAUUCUAUUUUAGUACGAAAGGACCAUAUAGUUUAUUAUUAAUAUUUAUAUAAAAUAUAUUU
rnacentral:rRNA from 1 species